ACCAUCAGCUAGUUGGUAGGGUAACGGCCUACCAAGGCAAUGACGGUUAGGGGCCCUGAGAGGGGAACCCCCCACACUGGGACUGCGACACGGCCCAGACUCCUACGGGAGGCAGCAGUUAGGAAUUUUGGACAAUGGGCGAAAGCCUGAUCCAGCGACGCCGCGUGCACGAAGAAGGCCUUCGGGUUGUAAAGUGCUUUUGCUGCAGAAAAAUUUUUGAUUGUAUGCAGCGAAUAAGAGGUUGCUAACUCUGUAAACGGAAGUCAGAGGUCAGAAGUCAGAGGUCAGAAAAUCGGAUCCAGUCCGAAUUCUGAUUUCGACUUUCGACAUUUACUUCGAGGUGCAGAGAGAGCAUAGUAAUAUGUUCUGAGAAAAUUCCACUAUAUGCUGGAAACUUCUGCAAAAUGCAAAGUACUCCUUGCGAGUGAAAAUCUUUGCCAAACCCAAAAAAGAUCGCCGCUGAUCAUGUGGGUUGCGGAACAAUCAGCAGGGAAGAGCAUCUUAUGAAUUAAUUUCAUAAGGGUUAACUCCCCUCAGAGACUACACGUGGAACCCCUGUAAAGGGAGAUGAUAUAGUCCAACACUGGUUUGCGAGGUAGGAUAUCCGACUUCCGAUUAUCCGACAUCCGACCUCCGAAUUAUGGCCAGCAGCAGCGGUAAUACAGAGACCUCAAGCGUUAUCCGGAAUCAUUGGGCGUAAAGCGUUCCGAUAGGUGGUUUGGUAAGUUUUGGGUAAAAGGCCGAAGCUUAACUUCGGUUUUGCUCAAAAUACUAUCAGACUAGAGGGGCAAAGAGGUGCUUGGAACCAGCGGUGUAGUAGUGAAAUGCGUUGAUAUCGCUGGGAACACCGAAAGCGAAGGCAGAGCACUGGGUGCCUCCUGACACUGCUAGGACGAAAGCGUGGGGAGUGAAUGGGAUUAGAUACCCCAGUAAUCCACGCUGUAAACGAUGAGUGCUAGGAAUGCGCGAGUAUCGACCCUCGUGCGAUCCGCAGCUAACGCGUUAAGCACUCCGCCUGGGGAGUACGGUCGCAAGACUAAAACUCAAAGGAAUUGACGGGGACCCGCACAAGCGGUGGAGCAUGUGGUUUAAUUCGACGGUA
rnacentral:rRNA from 1 species